UGACGAUCUACUGACUGAGUGGCGGACGGGUGAGUAACGCGUGGGUAACCUGCCUGUACAGGGGGGACAACGAGUUGGAAACGACUGCUAAGUACCGCAUAAGCGCACGGAAUCGCAUGAUUUUGUGUGAAAAGAUUUAUCGGUACAAGAUGGACCCGCGUCUGAUUAGCUAGUUGGUGAGGUAAUGGCCCACCAAGGCGACGAUCAGUAGCCGACCUGAGAGGGUGACCGGCCACAUUGGGACUGAGACACGGCCCAAACUCCUACGGGAGGCAGCAGUGGGGAAUAUUGCACAAUGGGCGCAAGCCUGAUGCAGCGAACCGCCGCGUGAGCGAAGAAGUAUUUCGGUAUGUAAAGCUCUAUCAGCAGGGAAGAUAAUGACGGUACCUGACUAAGAAGCACCGGCUAAAUACGUGCCAGCAGCUGC
rnacentral:rRNA from 1 species